AAACCGCAAAGAGGUAAACGGGUGGAUCCGCGAGGUCGGCCCGGGGAAUUCAGCCCAGCACGCUGGGGCGGCUUGGAGGUGGUGAUCCGUCCAGGACUCCACGUUCUCGCGUCUCGGCUUCCAGCGAGCAGGGUGCACUUUCUCUGGGUUGAGUGCCAUGACCGGUUCCGCGCUAGUCAGGAGCCCGGCGGCAAGGUGACUGUAACAGGUGUUAUAGGCCGCCGAGGUGGACACGCUGCGGGACCGAGGAUGCUUGCCGCAUUCCACGGCUUCGGGUCGUACGGGCGCGUUCAACGUUGGCGUCACUUUUCGCAAGUGCGUCGAGACCGCGCGCCCUGUCACGGGCCCGUCUGUCGGGAGUGCCUCGUGUCGGUGGCCAAACGGUCGGUCCUCCACCCGACCCGUCUUGAAACACGGACCAAGGAGUCUAACAUGUGCGCGAGUCAAGGGGUCUAACGAAACCCAAAGGCGCAAUGAAAGUGAAGGCCGCCUCCGGUUGGCCUAGGCGGGAUCCCGUCCCGUUCGCGGGGCGGGCGCACUGCCGGCCCGUCUCGGUUGCAUCGUCAACGAGGCGGAGCAAGAGCGCACACGUUGGGACCCGAAAGAUGGUGAACUAUGCCUGAGUAGGACGAAGUCAGAGGAAACUCUGAUGGAGGUCCGUAGCGAUUCUGACGUGCAAAUCGAUCGUCAAACUUGGGUAUAGGGGCGAAAGACUAAUCGAACCAUCUAGUAGCUGGUUCCCUC
rnacentral:rRNA from 2 species